GGAUAUUGAACCGAAGAUCGACGGUUGAGAUGACAAGGCCAAGAUAUAACAAAAAGAUAUUAUUCUAGAAGAUAAAUGUUAAUAUUGAAGUUUAGAAAGUUUAACAUUUAUCUUUUAGAAUAAUAUUUUCUUGCCGUAUCUUGGCCUUGUCAUUUCAACCGUUGAUCUCUGUCGAUCUCU